AAAAUCGCGUCAGUCUGAACCGCGUCUCAUUGAUCAAGCAGAAGACGAUGUCGUGGGCAGACUCACAUAAUAAACAAAAUCAACUGUGGCCAGAGGAUCUGCCAAAUAUACACAUCCAACAACCAGUUCCUCAGUCAACCACAAUCUUCCAGCAGUUGCCAAACACAGUGACGUCACCUUUAUCACCAGUGCGCGCAGGGCACAUUAGAGAGGAUCUGGUGGAAUUAAUGAUGAUCCAGAAUGCACAGAUGCAUCAGGUCAUUAUGAAUAAUAUGACCAUGUCUGUACUCAACAAGUUUGACUACACAAAUACACCAGAGGUAAUGUGUUCACAGACACAAACAUGCCUGUAAGCACACAC